rnacentral:rRNA from 1 species
AGCGAACGCUGGCGGCAGGCCUAACACAUGCAAGUCGAACGAACCUUUCGGGGUUAGUGGCGGACGGGUGAGUAACACGUGGGAACGUGCCUUUAGGUUCGGAAUAACUCAGGGAAACUUGUGCUAAUACCGAAUGUGCCCUUCGGGGGAAAGAUUAAUCGCCUUUAGAGCGGCCCGCGUCUGAUUAGCUAGUUGGUUGAGGUAAUGGCUCACCAAGGCGACGAUCAGUAGCUGGUCUGAGAGGAUGAUCAGCCACAUUGGGACUGAGACACGGCCCAAAUUCCUACGGGAGGCAGCAGUGGGGAAUCUUGCGCAAUGGGCGAAAGCCUGACGCAGCCAUGCCGCGUGAAUGAUGAAGGUCUUAGGAUUGUAAAAUUCUUUCACCGGGGACGAUAAUGACGGUACCCGGAGAAGAAGCCCCGGCUAACUUCGUG